UACGGGGGGGGCAAGCGUUGUUCGGAAUUACUGGGCGUAAAGGGCGCGUAGGCGGUUCGUUAAGUUAGAUGUGAAAACUCUGGGCUCAACCCAGAGCCUGCAUCUAAUACUGACGGGCUAGAGUUAUGGAGGGGGUAGCGGAAUUCCUGGUGUAGCGGUGAAAUGCGUAGAUAUCAGGAGGAACACCGGUGGCGAAGGCGGCUACCUGGACAGAAACUGACGCUGAGGCGCGAAAGCUAGGGGAGCAAACAGG
rnacentral:rRNA from 1 species